rnacentral:rRNA from 1 species
GCAAGUCGUGCGAGAAAGUUUUCUUCGGAAGACGAGUAGAGCGGCGAACGGGUGAGUAACACGUAAAUAACCUGCCCUUAAGUUUGGGACAACCAUGCUAACGCGUGGCUAAUACCGGAUGUGAAUAUUUAAUCUCAUGUUUAGAUAUUUAAAGGUCCUUUGGGAUUGCUUAGGGAUGGAUUUGCGUACUAUUAGCUAGUUGGUAAGGUAAUGGCUUACCAAGGCGAUGAUAGUUAGCCGACCUGAGAGGGUGAUC